rnacentral:rRNA from 1 species
GUAACACGUAGUCAACCUGCCCUGGAGACAUGGACAACCCCGGGAAACUGGGAUUAAUCCGUGAUAGGUCAUCCCAUCUGGAAGGAGGGAUGGCUUAAAGGGGCGCGCGGGCUUCUUCUGCGCGUCCGCUCCAGGAUGGGACUGCGUCCGAUCAGGCUGUUGGCGGGGUAAUGGCCCACCAAACCUGUAACCGGUACGGGCCUUGAGAGAGGUGGCCCGGAGAUGGACACUGAGAGAAGGGUCCAGGUCCUACGGGGCGCAGCAGGCGGGAAACCUUCGCAAUGCGCGAAAGCGUGACGAGGUUAAUCCGAGUGGUCCCCGCUGAGGGGACCUUUUGUCAGCUGUAAAUAGGCGGGCGAAUAAGGGGAGGGCAAGCCUGGUGUCAGCCGCCGCGGUAAUACCAGCUCCUCGAGUGGUCGGGGCGAUUAUUGGGCCUAAAGCAUCCGUAGCCGGUUCCGUAGGUCCUCUGUUAAAUCCACCCGCUCAACGGGUGACCUGCAGAGGAUACCGCGGGACU